rnacentral:rRNA from 1 species
AUUGAACGCUGGCGGAAUGCUUUACACAUGCAAGUCGAACGGCAGCACGGACUUCGGUCUGGUGGCGAGUGGCGAACGGGUGAGUAAUGUAUCGGAACGUGCCCAGUCGUGGGGGAUAACGUAGGGAAAAUUACGCUAAUACCGCAUACGAUCUAUGGAUGAAAGCGGGGGAUCGCAAGACCUCGCGCGAUUGGAGCGGCCGAUAUCAGAUUAGGUAGUUGGUGGGGUAAAGGCCCACCAAGCCAACGAGCUGUGGCUGGGCUGAGAGGACGACCAGCCAAACUGGAACUGAGACACGGUCCAGACGACUACGGGAGGCAGCAGUGGGGAAUUUUGGACAAAGGGCGAAAGCCUGAUCCAGCCAUUCCGGGUGCAGGAUGAAGGCCCUCGGGUUGUAAACUGCUUCUGUACAGAACGAAAAGGUUUCUACUAAUACUAGGAGCUCAUGACGGUACUGUAAGAAUAAGCACCGGCUAACUACGUGCCAGCCGCCGCAGUAA